GAUUCUAAACUAAACCUAUUCUUUG
rnacentral:tRNA from 1 species